GAGGCAGGGGUAACCUUGAGAGGAUGGAGGGUCUGCAAAGGGUCUUCCUGGUGCUGGAGAGAGGAUGUGAACUGGGAGAAGGAGCGACAUUGUGCCUCAUAGAGGGAAACUUCGUCCUCGCUGGAAUAAAGAAAAAGGGAAAGUGUUCAUGCAGAUGAUGGAGAGUUCCUCGGAGUUGACGUCCAGGGCUCGCAGCUGCAUCAGGACAUGCACCCAGGUCCAGUCCCCUCCUGUGGUGUUCAUACGAGCAACAAACAUGGUCCCACUGUCUCGGCUCUGGUCCAGUACUAUCAGGGAAAAAACAAUAGAAGUCAGCUCAAGGCAAAUCAAGAAACCAUGAACAGAGUGGAAGGUGUUGGUGUUAAAGUUUGGAGGAAGGUCACCAAAGCUGGAGGGCACGUCAAUGGGCAGGCAGAUGGACACAAAGAUGGGGUUUGGGAUCCAUCCUGCUGGCGACACCUGGAAGUGCCCUCGAACAUGUACGAUCUGCAAAAGUAAUGCAUCACUCCAGGUGAAUUUAAAGUGUGCAAGUUGGUGAAUGCAA